rfam:Stegodyphus mimosarum contig118598, whole genome shotgun sequence.
GCCUUCGUAGUGUAGUGGUCAGCACGCUCGACUCACAACCGACAAGUCCGUGGUUCGAUUCCCAGCGCAGGCG